UUUCUAGUGCGAUUUUCGUCUUUUGACGGAUGUGAACGAGUAGAUGAGUUAUAAAUGUUGAGAUGAGGGAACUUAUACUCAGAACAUUCGUAAUUCAUCUACUCGUUCACAUCCAUCAAAAGUAGAAAAUCGCACUA